rfam:Flavobacteriaceae bacterium (ex Bugula neritina AB1) isolate AB1-1 AB832_contig000068, whole genome shotgun sequence.
AAGGCGGUAAUCCGAAAAGCCAGUAUUGAAAAGAGUAGGAG